rnacentral:rRNA from 1 species
AAGGCUCAGUACAACAGCUAUUAUUUAUUUGAUCAUAAACAUAGUUACUUGGAUAACUGUGGUAAUUCCAGAGCUAAUACAUGCAAACAACAUGGAUCCCUGCAGCAAUGUGGGUGAAACAUGUGCUUUUAUUAGAUUAAAACCAUAUCCAUUUUACGAUGGAUUUGUUUUAGAUGAAUCUGGAUAAUUAUGGCUGAUCGUAUGGUCUUGCACCGACGAUAGAUCAUUCAAAUGUCUGCCCUAUCAACUAUUGAUGGUAGUAUAGAGGACUACCAUGGUUGCAACGGGUAACGGGGAAUCAGGGUUCGA